AUUUGUAUAGUUUAAAAAAAACAUUACAUUUUCAUUGUAAAAAUAAGUUUACUUUAUAAAUA
rnacentral:tRNA from 1 species